CUUUCGGUGAUGACUUGUUACUUUUUUUUCUCCUGUUUAUCAUGUCUGAGCUAACUCGACAGCUUUCAGUAGCUGCCAGAUUUGUCAACACAGGACCCAGACGUUCACUGUGUACAGAACAAAUGUAGUAAUAGCUUUCAAAGUACAGCGUCUGAGAGCCUAGUGCUCUCUGUUUCUCUCUCUUCCACACCAAAUAUGCCCCUGUCCUUUCCUGGAGGGCUCACAUUGGCAGGUGGGAAGGGGGAUUCAGCUUCCUUGCCCACUUUUUCUUCUGCCUUUCUGAGGGAUCUGGGAGAGCUGCCAACUUGAUAGGUUGACUGAGAAUCAGAAAUGACUGCGUUCCCACCUGCAGCCUCCAUUCAGGAUUUGUUAUGGAAUGCUAAAAGCACAGUGAUGAAAAGUUUCUGCGAGUCAGGCCAUUUUUGGCAAGGCAGUAAGUACUGGAACGUCCACUGCAAGUGACUGCUUUUCCCUGUUCAUACACGGAAAGAAAUGGAUCUAACACCUAUGUCAUUAUCUGAUGGGCAUUCGGAAACAUAGUGCUAGGACUCAAUAGACAAUAAUAAAAUGAUUAUCUGCUAGUUAUUAACUGUUUUCAAUGUGGUCUCUUGCCCGCAAAAGAUGAGGUUUUUUUUGAAUCUUUUGCUCCUACUCAGUGUUUGUAAAUAGAGACAAAAAUGAAUAUAAGCUCCAUCCGGGAGAAAAUUAUUUAGUGCUAUUGAAUAAGGAGAAGAGCAGCUACAGAAUGAGUUUAUUUGCAUAAGCUUUCUAUUCAGAAUAAUCUACACGACAUUUUGGAAACUCACUUGAAGAGCAUAAAUACUCUGAAAUGGAGAGGAGGAAUCAAAGAGAAAUAAGAAGGGAAACACGGCAAGAGACUUUCUUCAAGACUUCUGAAGACUUUGCAUUGACCUUCUGCAAUGUCUGUAGACAUUGUGAUGAGCUAGUUUGGCGGUGUGUUGCGGUGAGAGAAACAACCUAAACUGAAGCUGCUGUGUACAGCAGCAGGACUUUGUGGAUUCCUGUCAAGUCUUCUUAAACAAGUAAAGUACAGCUGAACUUCCCUGAGAGCUAGCGACAUGCCUGUGUGAAUAGAUGAAUUCCUGGAUGUAGUGGCAAAGUAACCGCUGAUGGUUAAACAGGGAGAAAGGAUAGCUGGAACAAUAGUAAUGACAGCAAAAGGACAACUCCUGAGAGAAGUAUCGUGGUUGCGGCUGUGAAACUGUACCACAAAGGUUUAGUGCAAAGAAAUACAGCGUGGUGCCUUUAAUCAUUAUUAAUACAAACAUUUGACUAAUUUAUCAUUGUUAAUUCUUCCUAAGUUUAUUUCACUUUCCCUUGUAUACAGCCUCAGUCUCGUAAAAGAGAAAUACUGCUUAUUAAAAGAGAGUCAGGGUUCAACUUCCCCAGGACUCAAGGUGGGGGAUCAAACUGGAGGCUUUUGUUAGCAUUAAGAGGAACUCCUCUGCAUGUGAGAUCAGUGCUUGCUGCCAUCAACAACAAAGUUGCUUUGAGUUUCAGUCCUUACUAGUCCAUGAAUCAACAGGUCAUAGAUAAUAAAGAUUUAUUUUUCUUAUUUUGGAUGAAUAU